rnacentral:rRNA from 1 species
GACGAACCGUGCGAACGUUAUUCGGAAUCACUGGGCUUAAAGGGCGCGUAGGCGGGUCAUCAAGUCCGGGGUGAAAUCCCACGGCCCAACCGUGGAAGUGCCUUGGAUACUGAAGACCUCGAGGGGGAUAGGGGCGUGCGGAACUCAGGGUGGAGCGGUGAAAUGCGUAGAUAUCCUGAGGAACACCGGUGGCGAAAGCGGCGCGCUGGAUCCCUUCUGGCGCUGAGGCGCGAAAGCCAGGGGAGCAAAGCGGGG